UACGAAGGGGGCUAGCGUUGUUCGGAAUUACUGGGCGUAAAGCGCGCGCAGGCGGUCUUCCAAGUCAGUGGUGAAAGCCUGGAGCUCAACUCCAGAACUGCCAUUGAAACUGUUAGACUUGAGUACGAGAGAGGUGAGUGGAAUUCCCAGUGUAGAGGUGAAAUUCGUAGAUAUUGGGAAGAACACCAGUGGCGAAGGCGGCUCACUGGCCCGGUACUGACGCUGAGGUGCGAAAGCGUGGGGAGCAAACAGG
rnacentral:rRNA from 1 species